AAUUUCUCUAUUGCGAAGUACUCUACUCUUCCGGUCUACAAUGACUAACGGUACCUCCUUAUAGGAUAGAUCCUCCUAGAGUGAAAGUGGUUCAUGAGAUAGGAUAUGUGAGGGGUCCAGGUUGUACUUACGUAGCGUAGACACAUGAAACAUGUUAUGGACUCUAGAUAGCUCAUGAUAGUUCAGAGGUAGUGCUAGUCUGUAGGCGGACGUAUCAACCCUGUCUAAAAUUUCAAACAGUUCAAUGAACCGGGGAUUUAAUUUCUCCCUCUUA
rnacentral:lncRNA from 1 species